rnacentral:rRNA from 1 species
AUUGCACGCUGGCGGCAGGCCUAACACAUGCAAGUCGAACGAGUGGCGGACGGGUGAGUAAUGUCUGGGAAACUGCCUGAUGGAGGGGGAUAACUACUGGAAACGGUAGCUAAUACCGCAUACCAUCGGAUGUGCCCAGAUGGGAUUAGAUAGUAGGUGGGGGAAAGGCUCACCUAGGCGACGAUCCCUCGCUGGUUUGCGAGGAUGACCAGCCACACGGGAACUGAGACACGGUCCAGACUCCUACGGGAGGCAGCAGUGGGGAAUAUUGCACAAUGGGCGCAAGCCUGAUGCAGCCAUGCCGCGUGUAUGAAGAAGGCCUUCGGGUUGUAAAGUACUUUCAGCGGGGAGGCGUUACCCGCAGAAGAAGCACCGGCUAACUCCGUGCCAGCAGCCGCGGUAAUAC